GCCCCCAGGCCCCGCCCCCGCCCCGGCGCCUGCGGGUCCGCCUCACCUGCGGGUCCCGGACCCCCGCCCCGGCCCCGCCCCCGGGUCCGCCCCGUUCCCGCCUCCCCGCGCCCCCUGCGGCGGCCGGAGUCACCCCAAGUUGUCGACGUCCGCUCCGUUGCUCAAGACGCUUAAGAGGAAGCCUGUCAGCAUUCCUGGGCGGAUAGGACGUUAAAGGUUUCCACCGCCCCACCCACCUCCAGGCGCCCCAAACCCCACCUCACCCUCGCAGUUUGUGCAAAGCUCCGACCCGCUGAUCCCACUCGGAUGUGCUUCAGGCGGCCUCCCGCGGCGGCCUCACCCCCGGACCCCGGGCGGGGGGGAGGGGCGCCCUUAAGGACCCGGACGGGGCGGGCGCCCUUAAGGACCCCCUAUCUGUGGGGGGCACCGAGCGAGGGCCUGCACCCUUCCGCUCCCUGCAAUGCCGCUUCCCCCAUGCCUUCCCCUGCGGACUCUCACCACCCAGCACCGGAACCCGGGCCCUGCCUUUGGAACGAACCCUCCUCGCCCCUACCCGAAUUGUCCUCUAUCUGCAGGGCGCGCUGAGCCCUCCCGGGAGCUGCCAGGUGCCCUCCCAACUGCCGUCCGGAAGGGCGGCCCAGCCGGCCUGGGUGCCCCGAAUGUGUGCUGGGCGGCAGGCAGAGCUGCGGGAAAGCCACAAGACCCUGGGAAAGAGAACCCGGACUGGUCCACGUGGAACCAGAGUACCCGCUCGCUGCUGUCAUGAGCCCCCACCGCAGCCAGAGCACCUGAAAUGUGCCCUGGGCCACACCUCAGCAGCAUAAGCUCAAAACUCCAUCACUUUCCCGAGGAAGGAGAAGCACAAGUGGGUUUGGGGAUCUGUGAAAGUGUGGGUUUUCUGGGGCCUUUUGCAUUUUGUUUUAGGAUCCUUUUUUUAUUCGUAUUGUACAAACCACACCGAAAUGUCUGAAAAUUCCACUUCUAAGUUGGCUGUGAGUCACCUGACAUGGACAGUGGUAGGUGACAACUGAAGAUGUUGAUAUUGGAGAAGUUAUCCCGCUCAGAAACAGAAAGAUCACUGUGCUGAAGGUGCCCUGUUAGUGAUUGGAUUCCUGGCUACUUAACCCCCCAGAGAUGCCACUGAACACUUCUAGAAGCUUCUGCUCGUGAUAUCUGCUCCCAUACCCUUUCUUUUUUCCCCCCUCUGUUUUCUUUUGGGUUUUUUGGUGGGUGGAUUUAGAUUUUUUUUUUUUAUAAGUUUAACUUUUUUAUUUCUCUGCAGUGUUACAUUAUUUUCAGGUGUACAAUAUAGUGAUUCAUCACUUCGGUAUAUCACCCAGUGCUCAUCACAAGUGUCUCCUUCAUCCCCACCACCUAGUUAACCCAAACCUCCACCCACCUCCCCUCUGGUCACCAUCAGAUCGUUCUCUGUACUUAAGAGUCUGUUUCUUGGUUUGUCUCCCUCUCUCUCUCUCACUCUUUUUCCCUUUGCUUGUUUGUUUCUUAAAUUCCACAUAUGAGUGAAAUCAUAUGGUAUUCCCACACCCCUUCUUCAACACAGCUCUGGCCUCACAAUAGGGGCCUGGCCCUCAGCUGCUGGCAGAGCAGGAGAUGCUGGGUUCCAAGGAAGGGGCUGACAGCUCUCAGAGGCCGGGGAGCAGAAGGGCAGGCUGGGAGAAAUGGCCCAUCCUCUGUAUGGAUGUCCGGAUCGGCUUUGCCUUGCGUCUUCCUAAAGCUGACCUCCUAUUUGACCCCUAGGGAGGCUG
rnacentral:lncRNA from 12 species